rnacentral:rRNA from 1 species
CCCCUAGAUGUUCUGGGCCGCACGCGCGCUACACUGACGAAUGCAACGAGCUUAUAACCUUGGCCGAAAGGUCUGGGUAAUCUCCAAAUUUCGUCGUGAUGGGGAUAGAUUAUUGCAAUUAUUAAUCUUCAACGAGGAAUGCCUAGUAAGCGCAAGUCAUCAGCUUGCGUUGAUUACGUCCCUGCCCUUUGUACACACCGCCCGUCGCACCUACCGAUUGAAUGGUCCGGUGAAAUCUCGGGACGGCGGCUUGGUCGCUUGCGUCCGACUGCUGAAACUUGAUUAAACCAUAUCAUUUAGAGGAAGGUGAAGUCGUAACA